UAAUACGAAGGGGGCUAGCGUUGCUCGGAAUUACUGGGCGUAAAGGGCGCGUAGGCGGACAGUUUAGUCAGAGGUGAAAGCCCAGGGCUCAACCUUGGAAUUGCCUUUGAUACUGGCUGUCUUGAGUACGGGAGAGGUGAGUGGAACUCCGAGUGUAGAGGUGAAAUUCGUAGAUAUUCGGAAGAACACCAGUGGCGAAGGCGACUCACUGGCCCGUUACUGACGCUGAGGCGCGAAAGCGUGGGGAGCAAACAGG
rnacentral:rRNA from 1 species